rnacentral:lncRNA from 1 species
GGCAGGAUGGAGGAUUUGGAUGCUUUGCUGGCAGAGCUGGAGCAGAGCUCCCGGCCGGCCUCCAUGGACUACACGCUGCUGGCCCCGAGCUCUGCACAGCAGGACACAGCCACGGCCAGACCCUCAGCCAACUGCAGCCAGAAGAAACAUGCCCCAGCACCCCCAAAGGUGAAGCUGCCGCCCCGGGCUCAGCCUCCCCACAAGGAUUUGGAGACCGUGUACAGGUAAAAUAACAGCCAGAGGGUGGCCAAGCUGUCAGGGUUACCUCUUCCUUAGCUCCAGCAUCAGCUUUCCAGCAUCACCUGGUGGCCUCAGUGUUCCCACAGCAAACAGGUCCUUGUGCAAAAUGGUCUGAGAGAGGCUGGGG